rnacentral:rRNA from 1 species
UACGUAGGGUGCAAGCGUUGUCCGGAAUUACUGGGCGUAAAGGGCGCGUAGGCGGCCUUCUAAGUCGAACGUGAAAUCCCCGGGCUCAACCCGGGAACUGCGUCCGAUACUGGAAGGCUUGAAUCCGGGAGAGGGAUGCGGAAUUCCAGGUGUAGCGGUGAAAUGCGUAGAUAUCUGGAGGAACACCGGUGGCGAAGGCGGCAUCCUGGACCGGCAUUGACGCUGAGGCGCGAAAGCCAGGGGAGCAAAGCGGG